UUGAGCCUUGAUGUGUAGGAUAGGUGGGAGGCUUUGAAGUGUGGACGCCAGUCUGCAUGGAGCCGACCUUGAAAUACCACCCUUUAAUGUUUGAUGUUCUAACGUGGACCCGUAAUCCGGGUUGCGGACAGUGUCUGGUGGGUAGUUUGACUGGGGCGGUCUCCUCCUAAAGAGUAACGGAGGAGCACGAAGGUUGGCUAAUCCUGGUCGGACAUCAGGAGGUUAGUGCAAUG
rnacentral:rRNA from 1 species